rnacentral:rRNA from 1 species
GAUGAACGCUGGCGGCGUGCCUAAUACAUGCAAGUCGAGCGAACGGACGAGAAGCUUGCUUCUCUGAUGUUAGCGGCGGACGGGUGAGUAACACGUGGAUAACCUACCUAUAAGACUGGGAUAACUUCGGGAAACCGGAGCUAAUACCGGUUAAUAUUUUGAACCGCAUGGUUCAAAAGUGAAAGACGGUCUUGCUGUCACUUAUAGAUGGAUCCGCGCUGCAUUAGCUAGUUGGUAAGGUAACGGCUUACCAAGGCAACGAUGCAUAGCCGACCUGAGAGGGUGAUCGGCCACACUGGAACUGAGACACGGUCCAGACUCCUACGGGAGGCAGCAGUAGGGAAUCUUCCGCAAUGGGCGAAAGCCUGACGGAGCAACGCCGCGUGAGUGAUGAAGGUCUUCGGAUCGUAAAACUCUGUUAGUAGGGAAGAACAUAUGUGUAAGUAACUGUGCACAUCUUGACGGUACCUAAUCAGAAAGCCACGGCUAACUACGUG